rnacentral:rRNA from 1 species
GUCUUGUAAUUGGAAUGAUGGUGACCCAAACCCUCACCAGAGUAGCAAUUGGAGGGCAAGUCUGGUGCCAGCAGCCGCGGUAAUUCCAGCUCCAAUAGCGUAUAUUAAACUUGUUGCAGUUAAAAAGCUYGUAGUUGUAUUUUUGCGUURRCGGUUUGACCAUUUGGUUGGUUAUUUCGUUUUCGCUUUUGGGAAUUUCCCUUUUUACUUUGAGAAAAUUAGAGUGUUUCAAGCAGACUUUUGUCUUGAAUACUUCAGCAUGGAAUAAUAGAGUAGGACUUUGGUUCUAUUUUGUUGGUUAUUGAACCUUAGUAAUGGUUAAUAGGAACGGUUGGGGGCAUUCGUAUUUAACUGUCAGAGGUGAAAUUCUUAGAUUUGUUAAAGACGAACUACUGCGAAAGCAUUUGCCAAGGACGUUUCCAUUAAUCAAGAACGAAAGUUAGGGGAUCGAAGACGAUCAGAUACCGUCGUAGUCCUAACCAUAAACUAUGCCGACUAGUGAUAGGAGGUCGUCGUUUUUUAACCCCUUCAGGAACUUGAGAGAAAUCAAAGUCUUUGG